rnacentral:rRNA from 1 species
UAAUAGUGUAUAUUAAAGUUGUUGCAGUUAAAAAGCUCGUAGUUGAAUGUUGGUGUCGAACGAGCGGUCAGCUUCGGCUGUACUGCUCUCUCGACUCCUUCCUUCUGUGGACUACGUCGCACUUUACUGUGUGGCGCUAGGACGCAGAUCGUUUACUGUGAAAAAAUUAGAGUGUUCAAAGCAGGCCGUACGCUUGAAUACAUUAGCAUGGAAUAAUGGAAUAGGACGUCGGGCCUAUUUUGUUGGUUCUAGGACCGUCGUAAUGAUUAAUAGGGACAGUUGGGGCCGUUUAUAUUCCGCAGUCAGAGGUGAAAUUCUUGGAUUUACGGAAGAUAAACUACUGCGAAAGCAUUCGGCAAGGAUGUUUNCGUUA